UUGCUCCGGCAGCACAUAUAGAAAGAUUGAACAGUACAGAGAAGCUUAGCAUGGCCCCCUGUGCAAGGAUGACCUGCAAAUUGGUGAAGUAUUCCAUGUUUUC